UACGGGGGGGGCAAGCGUUGUUCGGAAUUACUGGGCGUAAAGGGCUCGUAGGCGGCCAAUUAAGUCCGACGUGAAAUCCCCAGCUUAACCUGGGAACUGCGUCGGAUACUGGAUGGCUUGAAUUCGGGAGAGGGAUGCAGAAUUCCAGGUGUAGCGGUGAAAUGCGUAGAUAUCUGGAGGAAUACCGGUGGCGAAGGCGGCAUCCUGGACCGACAUUGACGCUGAUGAGCGAAAGCUAGGGGAGCAAACGGG
rnacentral:rRNA from 1 species